UCCAGAACGUUUGAUCAAGACAUAUUUUUACAUUGUGCGUAAAAGUAUCCAGGACAAAGUGCCUAAGGCUGUUAUGCACUUUUUUGGUUAAUCAUGUCAAGGACAAUCUUCAGUCAGAACUCGUCAAGCAUUUGUAUCGCACAGAUGAGAUUGAUAAUUUCCUCUCAAAAUCCCCUGAGAAUUGCUCAGCGUCGGAAGGAAGCUGCAGAAAUGCUAAAGGCUCUCCAGAAUGCAAAUGUCAUCAUUGGAGAGAUAAGAGAAACCCAUAUGUGGUAGAGCAGACUUUAACAAUGAACCUGUUCUUCCAACCACUUAAAAUAUUCAUAAGGAUAGAGCAUCUACCACCUGUACUUAUUUUCUUUUUUUCUGGAUGCUAAGAAAUUUAUUAUACAGUUGUUUCAUGAAAUUUUCUAAAGGGAAAAUUCCUUUUAUGCACCUUAAAUGGUUCACUCUUUCUAUCUGGCAUUGUAUUUUAAUUUUUACCUUUGGGGAAAAAAUCUUGCCUCUUACAAGAAAUGUCAUGUUCCAUAUAUUAAUAUUUGUACUGAGGCAAAGGGCUAAAAUUUCUAGCAUUUUUAUAAAUGGCUCUAAUUUUUACUCUGAUUCAGCAAUAGCUUUAGUCAUGCAUUCAUUGAAGUAUUACAUAAAAAUUUAAUUACUCUUUGAUUUUUUUUUAAUUUUAAAAUAAGGAAAAAGGAUUGCCAGAUAUGCAAGACUGUAUAUACACUAGACGGAAUGAACACUAGAUCUGCAGAAUGUGUACAUAUGUUUGACAAAGAGCACCAGAUCUGCAGUGUUUAAGCUUUAUACUGUACAUUUAUGGGUAAUUUAUUUGAAGUAUUUUAUGACUUAAGAGUUUAAUACAAUGUCAGUAGCAAGUCAACCUGUUAAUGAAGCUUCUUAUACAGUUUGUUGUCCUGUAUAGUGUUAAACCCAUGUGGGUCAUCAGUGAGAGGAGUGAUGGAAACUCGAUUCUUUGUCCACUAAUUGCAAAAUAGUCAUGGAACUUACAAGGAUUCCUAGUUUAUGCAUAAGAACAUAAGGAAGGAGAAGCACUGCAGCAGGCCUACUGGCCCAUGCAAGGCAGGUCCAAGUCAUCUACCAGCUUAAGCCACGGACCUAACCUAGUCAGAUCCAGGUCACAUCCACUUAACCCUUAAAUGGUCCAAACGUACGUACGUGUGUGUGUGUGUGAUGGAUUUAUGAAGGAUGUGGUUAAUCAUAGAAUUGAUGAGGGAAAAAAGGUGAGUGGUGCGUUGAGGUAUAUGUGGAGUCAAAAAACAUUAUCUAUGGAGGCAAAGAAGGGAAUGUAUGAAAGUAUAGUAGUACCAACACUCUUAUAUGGAUGUGAAGCUUGGGUGGUAAAUGCAGCAGCGAGGAGACGGUUGGAGGCAGUGGAGAUGUCCUGGUGUAAAUAUUAUGCAGAAAAUUCGGAGUGUGGAAAUUAGGAGAAGGUGUGGAGUUAAUAAAAGCAUUAGUCAGAGGGCAGAAGAGGGGUUGUUGAGGUGGUUUGGUCAUUUAGAGAGAAUGGAUCAAAGUAGAAUGACAUGGAAAG